rnacentral:lncRNA from 1 species
GCCAAUUUAGAAGAUUAGGUCUUAAAUAAGGUUGUUUAGCAAUUUGGUUUAGCUCAUGUCAAUUAGAUCAGUCAUAUGAUGACUGAUUAGAUAAGACCUAAGCCUCUCUGUAAAUAUUAAGUCCAUAGGUCUUCCACCAUUGUAGAUGUACGAGCGUGCUACCGGCAUUGAUUGUUCUCGGCUGGUCACAGUAGUUCAAUUGCAUCGAA